CCCUGCACCCAGUCGAAGAAGCGAGCUUAUGAGGAGGAACCAUGCUGCAAGUGGUCGCGUUUUCGCUGCUGGCGGUGGUGAGCACGUCAUCAGCAGCUAUGAUCUUGGUGAUCGCACCGUCACCGUCCUACAGCCACCAGCUGCCAUUCCACAUCCUGACAAAGGCUCUCCUGCAGAGGGGCCACCGAGUCACCCUCAUGACGACAGACUCCAUGAAGAUAUCUCAUGAGAACUAUACCGAGAUUGACUUGUCAAUAGCUUAUAGAUACAUAAGAGGCCACUGUGAUUAUGUGAAGGUAUACGAAGAAACACCGACACGGUCGAUGGCAAUGAGGCUGGAC